GACGUCGAAUAUCGACGUCAUAAACACCAAAGUUGAUCGUGUUUAUGACGUCGAAUAUCGACGUCAUCAACACCAAAGUUGAUCGUGUUUAUGACGCCGAAUAUCGACGUCAUAAACACCAAAGUUGAUCGUGUUACACCAAAGUUGAUGGUGUUUAUGACGUCGCAUAUCGAAGUCAUAAACACCAAAGUUGAUGGUGUUUGUAUGACGUCGCAUAUCGACGUCAUAAACACCAAAGUUGAUCGUGUUUAUGACGCCGUUCAACUCAGAAGUU